rnacentral:rRNA from 1 species
UACGUAGGGUGCAAGCGUUGUCCGGAUUUAUUGGGCGUAAAGAGCUCGUAGGCGGUUUGUCGCGUCGGAUGUGAAAACCCAGGGCUCAACCCUGGGCCUGCAUUCGAUACGGGCAGACUAGAGUAUGGCAGGGGAGACUGGAAUUCCUGGUGUAGCGGUGAAAUGCGCAGAUAUCAGGAGGAACACCGGUGGCGAAGGCGGGUCUCUGGGCAGUAACUGACGCUGAGGAGCGAAAGCGUGGGGAGCGAACAGG